AGCUCCAAUAGCGUAUAUUAAAGUUGUUGCAGUUAAAAAGCUCGUAGUUGAAUUUCGGGAUUAGUGCGCCGGUCGUGCCUUCGGUAUGUACUGGUGUUACUGGUUCCUACCUUCUGACGAACCGUCAUGUCAUUAAUUUGGUGUGGCGGGGAAUCAGGACUGUUACUUUGAAAAAAUUAGAGUGUUUAAAGCAGGCUCGCGCUUGAAUACAUUAGCAUGGAAUAAUGAAAUAGGACGUUCGAUCCUAUUUUGUUGGUUUCUAGGAUUGACGUAAUGAUUAAUAGGGAUAGUUGGGGGCAUUAGUAUUCAAUUGUCAGAGGUGAAAUUCUUGGAUUUAUUGAAGACUAACUACUGCGAAAGCAUUUGCCAAGGAUGUUUUCA
rnacentral:rRNA from 1 species